UCCCUAGUGUCUCAGAUGGUAAAGAAUCUGCCUGCAAUGCAGGAGACCCGGGUUUGAUCCCUGGGUUGGGAA
rnacentral:tRNA from 1 species